rnacentral:rRNA from 1 species
CCUACGGGUGGCAGCAGUGAGGAAUAUUGGUCAAUGGCCGGAAGGCUGAACCAGCCAAGCCGCGUGAAGGACGAAGGUGCCAAGCAUUGUAAACUUCUUUUGUCAAGGGACAAAAUCAGGCUCGAGAGCCUGACCGAGGGUACUUGAAGAAAAAGCAUCGGCUAACUCCGUGACAGCAGCCGCGGUAAUAGGGAGGAUGCGAGCGUUAUCCGGAUUGAGUGGGUUUAAAGGGUGCGUAGGCGGGAUGUUAAGUCAGCGGUAAGAGCCCGGGGCUCAACCCCGGCGAGACGUUGAAACUGGCUGUCUGGAGAUGUCGAGAGGUAUGCGGAAUGCGCAGUGUAGCGGUGAAAUGCUUAGAUAUUGCGCAGAACUCCGAUUGCGAAGGCAGCAUACCGGCGGCGAUCUGACGCUGAGGCACGAAAGCGUGGGUAUCGAACAGGAUUAGAUACCCCGGUAGUC